rnacentral:rRNA from 1 species
GUAGGGAAUUUUCGUCAAUGGGCGCAAGCCUGAACGAGCAAUGCCGCGUGAACGAGGAAGGUCUUCGGAUCGUAAAGUUCUGUUGAGAGGGAAAAAGGGUCACCAGAGGAAAUGCUGGUG